GACGAACGCUGGCGGCGUGCUUAACACAUGCAAGUCGAACGGAAAGGCCCUGCUUUUGUGGGGUGCUCGAGUGGCGAACGGGUGAGAAACACGUGAGUAACCUGCCCUUGACUUUGGGAUAACUUCAGGAAACUGGGGCUAAUACCGGCUAGGAGCUCCUGCUGCAUGGUGGGGGUUGGAAAGUUUCGGCGGUUGGGGAUGGACUCGCGGCUUAUCAGCUUGUUGGUGGGGUAGUGGCUUACCCAGGCUUUGACGGGUAGCCGGCCUGAGAGGGUGACCGGCCACAUUGGGACUGAGAGACGGCCCAGACUCCUACGGGAGGCAGCAGUGGGGAAUAUUGCACAGUGGGCGGAAGCCUGAUGCAGCAACGCCCCGUGCGGGAUGACGGCCUUCGGGUGGUAAACCGCUUUCGCCUGUGACGAAGCGUGAGUGACGGUAAUGGGUAAAGAAGCACCGGCUAACUACGUG
rnacentral:rRNA from 1 species